rnacentral:misc_RNA from 1 species
GAAAUGACUGCUGCAAAAGUGUAUUCAUUAGGCCUGACACCUAUUUCUUGCAUUCUUAUAAAUGCUCUAAGAGCAUUUUCCUCUUGACCUAUCUGAGUAUAUGUCGUUAUUAUCAUUGUCCAGGAAACCACAUUCCUUAUGGUCAUCUUUUCAAACAAAUGUGAACCAUAGUCCAAUUUCCCACAUUUGUUGUACACGGUAGCAAGAGUGUUGGCCACAAAUGAGCUUGCUUCGAGGCUUCUUUUCAAUAUUUGACAAUGAAUCUCUCUCCCAUAAUUCAAAGCACCUGAAUCAGCACAUGCCUUUAAUGCAAUAGCAAAUGUGUAGGAAUCACAGACCACCUUUGAUCUCCACAUUUCAGAGAAGUAAACCAGCCCCUCCUUACUGUAACCAGCAUGAACAAGCCCUGUUAUAAUUGCAGUCCAGGACACUACAUUUCUUGUAGGCAUCUCAUGAAAGACUGUGCAACCUUGUUCAAUUUCACCAACUUUCAUGUACAUAUCCAGAAGGGCACUCCCCACAAAAACUGAGUUAACAAAAUCGGUUUUUACCGAAUACGCAUGCACUGAUUCACCAAAACUUGUAAUCAAACUGAGCCCACAAGCUUUGAGUGCAAGGCUUAGGAUAAAGGGGUCCAUGUGGAGUCCUGGCUCAACCCACAUUUUAGAAAACAACGUUAAGGCCUCAGUGGUGUUCAUGGCGUUGACGUAUCCAGAUAUAAUUGUGGUCCAUGAAAUCUCGUCUCUGGAAUGCAUUUUAUCAAACAUUUGGCGGGCGUCCCGCAAGCGAUCGGUUUUGACCAG